rnacentral:rRNA from 1 species
UGGGGAAUAUUGGACAAUGGGCGAAAGCCUGAUCCAGCAACGCCGCGUGAGGGAUGACGGCCUUCGGGUUGUAAACCUCUUUCAUCCAGGACGAAGCGAAAGUGACGGUACUGGGAGAAGAAGCACCGGCCAACUACGUGCCAGCAGCCGCGGUAAUACGUAGGGUGCGAGCGUUGUCCGGAAUUAUUGGGCGUAAAGGGCUCGUAGGCGGUUUGUUACGUCGGAAGUGAAAACUCAGGGCUUAACCCUGUUCGUGCUUCCGAUACGGGCAGACUAGAGGUAGGCAGGGGAGAACGGAAUUCCUGGUGUAGCGGUGGAAUGCGCAGAUAUCAGGAGGAACACCGGUGGCGAAGGCGGUUCUCUGGGCCUAUUCUGACGCUGAGGAGCGAAAGCAUGGGGAGCGAACAGG